rnacentral:rRNA from 1 species
GACGAACGCUGGCGGCGUGCUUAACACAUGCAAGUCGAACGAUGAAGCCGGAGCUUGCUCUGGUGAAUUAGUGGCGAACGGGUGAGUAACACGUGAGUAACCUGCCCUUGACUCUGGGAUAACUGCGGGAAACUGUAGCUAAUACCGGAUACGACCCUCGGAGGCAUCUCCUGGGGGUGGAAAGAAUUUCGGUCAAGGAUGGACUCGUGGCCUAUCAGCUAGUUGGUGAGGGAAAGGCUCACCAAGGCGACGACGGGUAGCCGGCCUGAGAGGGUGACCGGCCACACUGGGACUGAGACACGGCCCAGACUGCUACGGGAGGCAGCAGUGGGGAAUAUUGCACAAUGGGCGCAAGCCUGAUGCAGCAACGCCGCGUGAGGGAUGACGGCCUUCGGGUUGUAAACCUCUUUUAGCAGGGAAGAAGCGAAAGUGACGGUACCUGCAGAAAAAGCACCGGCUAACUACGUGCCAGCCGCCGCGGUAA